UACGUAGGGUGCAAGCGUUGUCCGGAAUUAUUGGGCGUAAAGCGCACGCAGGCGGUCUGCUAAGUUUGGAGUGACAGUUGGUGGCUUAACUGCCAAAGUGCUUCGAAAACUGACAGACUUGAGGGCUUCAGAGGGACACGGAAUUCCGGGUGGAGUGGUGAAAUGCGUAGAGAUCCGGAGGAACACCAAAGGCGAAGGCAGUGUCCUGGGGAGUACCUGACGCUCAGGUGCGAAAGCCAGGGGAGCGAACGGG
rnacentral:rRNA from 1 species